rnacentral:rRNA from 1 species
GAUGAACGCUGGCGGCGUGCCUAAUACAUGCAAGUCGAGCGAACAGAUAAGGAGCUUGCUCCUUUGAAGUUAGCGGCGGACGGGUGAGUAACACGUGGGUAACCUACCUAUAAGACUGGGAUAACUUCGGGAAACCGGAGCUAAUACCGGAUAACAUUUAGAACCGCAUGGCUCUAAAGUGAAAGAUGGUUUUGCUAUCACUUAUAGAUGGACCCGCGCCGUAUUAGCUAGUUGGUAAGGUAACGGCUUACCAAGGCGACGAUACGUAGCCGACCUGAGAGGGUGAUCGGCCACACUGGAACUGAGACACGGUCCAGACUCCUACGGGAGGCAGCAGUAGGGAAUCUUCCGCAAUGGGCGAAAGCCUGACGGAGCAACGCCGCGUGAGUGAUGAAGGGUUUCGGCUCGUAAAACUCUGUUAUUAGGGAAGAACAAAUGUGUAAGUAACUGUGCACAUCUUGACGGUACCUAAUCAGAAAGCCACGGCUAACUACGUGCCAGCAGCCGCGGUAAUACGUAGGUGGCAAGCGUUAUCCGGAAUUAUUGGGCGUAAAGCGCGCGUAGGCGGUUUCUUAAGUCUGAUGUGAAAGCCCACGGCUCAACCGUGGAGGGUCAUUGGAAACUGGGAAACUUGAGUGCAGAAGAGGAAAGUGGAAUUCCAUGUGUAGCGGUGAAAUGCGCAGAGAUAUGGAGGAACACCAGUGGCGAAGGCGACUUUCUGGUCUGUAACUGACGCUGGUGUGCGAAAGCGUGGGGAUCAAACAGGAUUAGAUACCCUGGUAGUCCACGCCGUAAACGAUGAGUGCUAAGUGUUAGGGGGUUUCCGCCCCUUAGUGCUGCAGCUAACGCAUUAAGCACUCCGCCUGGGGAGUACGACCGCAAGGUUGAAACUCAAAGGAAUUGACGGGGACCCGCACAAGCGGUGGAGCAUGUGGUUUAAUUCGAAGCAACGCGAAGAACCUUACCAAAUCUUGACAUCCUUUGAAAACUCUAGAGAUAGAGCCUUCCCCUUCGGGGGACAAAGUGACAGGUGGUGCAUGGUUGUCGUCAGCUCGUGUCGUGAGAUGUUGGGUUAAGUCCCGCAACGAGCGCAACCCUUAAGCUUAGUUGCCAUCAUUAAGUUGGGCACUCUAGGUUGACUGCCGGUGACAAACCGGAGGAAGGUGGGGAUGACGUCAAAUCAUCAUGCCCCUUAUGAUUUGGGCUACACACGUGCUACAAUGGACAAUACAAAGGGCAGCUAAACCGCGAGGUCAUGCAAAUCCCAUAAAGUUGUUCUCAGUUCGGAUUGUAGUCUGCAACUCGACUACAUGAAGCUGGAAUCGCUAGUAAUCGUAGAUCAGCAUGCUACGGUGAAUACGUUCCCGGGUCU